GGUCGAGUAACACGUAGACAACUGCCGGUGAGUGGGGGAUAACAGCGGGAAACUGCUGCUAAUACCGCAUGGGGCAGAGCAGCGAUGGCUGCUCCCGCUAAAGGAGCAAUUCGCUCACCGAUGGGUCUGCGGCCUAUCAGCUAGUUGGUGGGGUAACUGGCCCACCAAGGCGACGACGGGUAGCUGGUCUGAGAGGAUGAUCAGCCGGACGGGGACUGAGACACGGCCCCGACUCCUUCGGGAGGCAGCAAUGAGGAAUAUUGCGCAAUGGGCGAAAGCCUGACGCAGCGACGCCGCGUGGGUGAGGAAGUCCUUCGGGAUGUAAAGCCCUUUUAUCGGGGACGAUCCAAGACGGUACCCGAUGAAUAAGCCCCGGCUAACUACGUGCCAGCCGCCGCGG
rnacentral:rRNA from 1 species